rnacentral:ncRNA from 1 species
AAAUAAAAUAUUAUCAUUUAUAAAAUUUAUUAAAAAUUUAUUUUACAUAUAAAUUUUAGUGUAUUUUAAAUUAUUUUAAAAAUAAUUAUUUUAUUAAAUAAAAAAUUAGUAGUAAUUAAUAUUAAAAAUUUAAGAAAUUAAGAUUUAGUAAUAUUAAAAUUAGUAACAAAUUUUGUGCCAGCAGUUGCGGUUAAACAAAAAUUAAAUUAAAUUUUUUUUAAUAAUUAAUAAAUAUAAUUAAGUUAAAAUUUAAAUUUUAAAUUAUUAGGUGAAAUUUUAAUUUAAUAAAAAUUUAAUUAAAAAUAUGAAUUUAAUAGGUUAAUUUAUAAACUAGGAUUAGAUACCCUAUUAUAAUAAAAUUAAAUUAAAAAUAUUAAAAUAGUAAAUAAUUAUAUUGAAACUUAAAUAAUUUGGCGGUAUUUUAGUUUAUUUAGAGGAAUCUGUUUAGUAAUUGAUAGUCCACGAAUAAAUUUACUUAAUUUUUAAUUUUGUAUAUCGUUGUUAGAAAAAUAUUUAAAAAUAAAAAAAAUAUUUUAAAAUUUAAUUAAUAAAUUAAAUCAGAUCAAGAUGCAGAUAAUAAUUAAGAUUAGAAUGGAUUACAAUAGAUUUAUUUAAAUGGAAAUUGAAUUGUUAAAUUUAAUUGAAGGUGGAUUUAAAUGUAAUUUUAUUUAGUUUAAUAGGAUGAUUAAAAAUUAAAAUAUGUACAUAUUGCCCGUCGCUUUCAUAAAUAAAUUGGAAUAAGUCGUAACAAAGUAGAGAUACUGGAAAGUGUUUCUAGAAAGAU